AGUCAAUAGAUACCCCGGUAGUCCACGCCGUAAACGAUGAGUACUAGGUGUAGGAGGUAUCGACUCCUUCUGUGCCGCAGUUAAACACAAUAAGUACUCCGCCUGGGAAGUACGGUCGCAAGAUUAAAAACUCAAAGGAAUUGACGGGGGCCCGCACAAGCAGCGGAGCAUGUGGUUUAAUUCGAAGCAACGCGAAGAACCUUACCUAGACUUGACAUCUCCUGAAUAGCGCAGAGAUGCGUGAAGCCCUUCGGGGCAGGAAGACAGGUGGUGCAUGGUUGUCGUCAGCUCGUGUCGUGAGAUGUUGGGUUAAGUCCCGCAACGAGCGCAACCCCUAUUAUUAGUUGCUACCAUUAAGUUGAGCACUCUAAUGAGACUGCCCGGGUUAACCGGGAGGAAGGCGGGGAUGGCGUCAAAUCAUCAUGCCCCUUAUGUCUAGGGCUACACACGUGCUACAAUGGUGAGAACAACGAGAUGCAAUACCGCGAGGUGGAGCAAAACUUGAAAACUCAUCUCAGUUCGGAUUGUAGG
rnacentral:rRNA from 1 species